rnacentral:rRNA from 1 species
AAUAUUGCACAAUGGGGGAAACCCUGAUGCAGCGAGGCCGCGUGAGCGAAGAAGGCCUUCGGGUCGUAAAGCACUGUCUUCAGGGAAGAAACGGACGGUACCUGAGAAGGAAGCCCCGGCUAACUACGUGCCAACAGCCGCGGUAAUACGUAGGGGGCGAGCGUAAUCCGGAAUGAUUGGGGGUAAAGGGUGGCUAGGCGCCCUUUUAAGUCAGAUGUGAAAGGCUACGGCUUAACCGUAGUUAGCAUUUGAAACUAAAAGGCUUGAGUGCAGGAGAGGGGAGUGGAAUUCCUAGUGUAGCGGUGAAAUGCGUAGAUAUUAGGAGGAACACCAGUGGCGAAGGCGACUCUCUGGACUGCAACUGACGCUGAGGCACGAAAGCGUGGGGAGCGAACAGG